rnacentral:tRNA from 1 species
AAGCGUGUAGUUAAACUGGUUAAAGUUUGAAAUUCAUAAUUUUAAAAAACGGGUUCAAACCCCGUCACACUUA